rnacentral:rRNA from 1 species
CGUGAGCGGCGGACGGGUGAGUAACGCGUGGGUAACCUGCCUCAUACAGGGGGAUAAUAGUUGGAAACGGCUGCUAAUACCGCAUAAGCGCACAGUACCGCAUGGUACGGUGUGAAAAACUCCGGUGGUAUGAGAUGGACCCGCGUCUGAUUAGGUAGUUGGUGGGGUAACGGCCUACCAAGCCGACGAUCAGUAGCCGACCUGAGAGGGUGACCGGCCACAUUGGGACUGAGACACGGCCCAA